rnacentral:tRNA from 1 species
AUGUUUAUUUUGCUCGUCCAGAUGCAAUUAUUGAUGGUAUUUCGGUUUAUAAAGCUCGCUUAAAAAUGGGUGAGAAAUUAGC